rnacentral:lncRNA from 1 species
GGACUUGCUUCAAUUUGCUUAACGUUAAUUAAUCUGAUUUCAUUUAUGUGUUUUUUUUUUUCUGCAUUUUUGCUUUGUUUUUAUUUUGUUGCUGCGGCGGCGGCUGCGGCUGCUGCUGCUUUUCUUGUUGUAUAUAAAUAAAACUAAAAAUAGUUUGUAUUGCAUUUAUUAAUACAAAAAUUAGAUUAAACUAGGUUUUACAUUGAAACUAGCACGUCAUUAAAAUUAAUGGUUCGAACAACUCUUCAUCGACUGCAAAAUGCUGUUAAAAAUUGUUUCAACGAAAUCAAAGUCAACUUCUAAAUCGAAAUUCAAACAACAGAAAAUCAUUGAAAGAGAGGAUUCAAAAUGUUUCAGGGGCACCAAAAUAAAUAUGCUAAUGUUUGUGUGUGUGCGAGUUUUGAUUGGAUGUGUGUGUGUGUGUUUUGCUGAUAAUUUGAUAGGCUUUAGGCUUUAUGACAUUUAUUGUAAAUAGACACAGAAACUGUACGCGAAAAAGUUCUCAAUUAACUAGCUGCUCUCCUGCCACUGGUUUUCCACUAUAUCGUUUGUAUAUUUAUUUAUAAUCAUAUUCAUGGUGAUAUGCUAACAUUUAUUUAGUGUUUAAGCGGCAUCUACACCCUGCAUUCUCCAAUUUGUAUGCAUUUUGAAUGCAUGGCGUGGGCGCCGCUUACCGCUUUACAUUUAUUUACAAUUAAAUCUCUUAUUUGUUGUGUUUGUUUUUUAGAAUUGUUUGUCAUAAUUCAAAUGGUUUUGCGUUUGCGUUUUCUGCUAUUCCUUGCACCUUUCCUUAAACGAAAACUAGUCAUAUUGCACAUACGAUACGAUUCGGAGAGAGCUCUCUGGCUGCUCUCCUACUUGCUCCCUUCCCUACUACUCGCUACUAUUACACGCUUCCUUUCUUGGGGUAUACUUUAUCGUUCCUUUCUCGUCGUUCCGCCUCUACUCGUCGCUUUAAAGUAUAUUUGGAUUUAGCACCAUUUUGCAUACCACACGAAUUAAAGAUUAUGAUUUUAUGAUUACUUAACGAACGUUUUUUAAAAAAACUUCUCUCAACUUCCUCUCCUGCUUAAUUAACAUAAUUUCAAUUUGUAAUGUGUGUGUGUGUGUGUGUUUUGUGUGUGUUUUGUUUGUGGGUGUGCGUAUGUUUAGUUUUACUAUAGUUAUCACAUCAUAUAUAGAUAAAUUUCUUAAAUUUUUGUU